rnacentral:rRNA from 1 species
CUCCUGGAAACGGGUGGUAAUGCCGGAUGUUCCACAUGAGCGCAUGCGAGUGUGGGGAAGGCUUUUUGCGGCAUGGGAUGGGGUCGCGUCCUAUCAGCUUGUUGGUGGGGUAACGGCCUACCAAGGCGUUGACGGGUAGCCGGCCUGAGAGGGCGACCGGCCACAUUGGGACUGAGAUACGGCCCAGACUCCUACGGGAGGCAGCAGUGGGGAAUAUUGCACAAUGGGCGCAAGCCUGAUGCAGCGACGCCGCGUGCGGGAUGGAGGCCUUCGGGUUGUAAACCGCUUUUGUUCAAGGGCAAGGCACGGUUUCGGCCGUGUUGAGUGGAUUGUUCGAAUAAGCACCGGCUAACUACGUGCCAGCAGCCGCGGUAAUACGUAGGGUGCAAGCGUUAUCCGGAUUUAUUGGGCGUAAAGGGCUCGUAGGCGGUUCGUCGCGUCCGGUGUGAAAGUCCAUCGCUUAACGGUGGAUCCGCGCCGGGUACGGGCGGGCUUGAGUGCGGUAGGGGAGACUGGAAUUCCCGGUGUAACGGUGGAAUGUGUAGAUAUCGGGAAGAACACC